rnacentral:piRNA from 1 species
ACAUGACCACAUGAUGCCAGACAUGGAUAAU